rnacentral:lncRNA from 1 species
CUUUCCUCUUUUUCUCCUUCCCUUUUCUGUCUUCUCUUUCCCACUCCCUUUCUUUUUUCCCCUCCUUUCUUUCUCCUCCUUCCCUCUCCCUUUUUUCUCCUGCUCUCCCUUCUUCUCUCCCUUCUCCCUUCUUUCUUUCUCUCCUUCCCUCCCUCAUCUCUCUCCUUCACUCUCUUCUCUCAUUUCUCUUUCUCUCUCUUCUCCUUUCUUCCUUCUCUCUCUUUUUUCUCUCUCCCACUCUCUCUCCUUUGUCUCUUCUUCCCCUCUCUCUCCUUCCUUUCUUAUUCCUCUCUUCUCUCCCUUUCUCUCUCCUCUCUUCUCCUUUCUUUCUUCUGUCUCUCCCUCCCCCCUCCCUUCUCUCUCUUUUUUCUCCCUCCCACUCUCUCUCCUCUGUCUCUUCUUCCCCUCUCUCUCUCCUCUCUCUGUCCUUUCUCUCUCCUCCUUCCUGCUCCCUUUUUUCUCCCCUGUUCCCUUCUCUCUUCUUUCUUUCUUUCUUUCUUUCUUUCUUUCUUUCUUUCUUUCUUUCUUUCUUUCUUUCUUUCUUCCUUCCUUCUCCCUCCCUUCUUCUUCCUGUCUUCUCUCCCUUUCUGUCUCCUCCAUUCUUCCUUCCUUCUUUCUUUCUUUCUUUCUUUCUUUCUUUCUUUCUUUCUUUCUUUCUUUCUUUCUUCUUUCUUUCUUUCUUUCUUUCUCUAUUUCCCUUCCUUUUCUCCCUUCCUUCUUCUUCCUCUCUUCCCUCCCUUCUCUCUCUCCUUCACUCUCUUUUCUCCCUUUCUCUGUCCUCUGUCUUCUCCUUUCUUCCUUCUAUCUCUCUCUCCCUCCCUCUCUCCCUUCUCUCUCUUUUUUCUCCCUCACACUGUCUCUGUUCUUGUCUCUUCUUCCCCUCUCUCUCUCUCCUCUCUCCCUCCCUUCUUCUUCCUCUCUUCCCCACUUUUUAGUCAGUUCAGGCCCAUUCACUCUAGACUUUUACCCUAAACCUACUUGUCCUUCUUGCCUCCAGUCUCUCCUCACUCCAUACUAUCCCCCUACAGCUGCCAAAUUGAUUUUCCUAGAGCAUGAAUCAGACCAUAUUAAACUCUGAAUCCAUAAACUCAAGUGGUUUCCUGUUCUCUUCAGGACCAAAUAAAAACUCUGUUUGGUUCUUGAACCCUGGCCCC